GUUUACAUUCAAACAGAGCACUCUGGAAUGCUAUUAAAUGUCUGUUUCUCCACUGCACAGGGGCAGGAAGAGAAGAGAAGGGGUAAUAGGAAUUGCAUCUGUAAUUCACCUACCCUGACAAAGCUAGAAGUGUCUGGCUACUCCUUAGGAAACAAAAAAUAAAAUCUACAGGGAAGACAUAAAGACUUUAUCCUUUUGGCUGGCUAAUAUGUCCAAUUGCAACUUUCAGAAAGCAGAAAAGGAAAAACAAAUUCACCUGCUGGCUGGACAGUAAGCCCAGAGAGGUCUGAUUUAUGUAGCUUGACUGAAGUAUGUAUUUGAAGACCUAGGAAAGAGUCUGAAGCUGGCAGCUCCUCUGCAAGGGAUUAGCACCUAACCCUGCCCUCAGCUGAUUCUGCGUGUCCUGUUCAAUCCACGUUUUCAGCUCUGACAACUGGAAGCCAGGAAUCCUUGGGGCUUUUAAAAACCACUUAUAGCUCUACUUAUUCUCUAAUGACUGUUCACCUUCCAUGUUACUCACUCACAGCUAUAUUUUGCUGCUUUUAUUUCUGUUCUAUCUGACUUGUUCUGGAGAGGUUUCUCAGUUAACAAGCAACAGUGUGUCAGCUGUGUGUCAGUAUUGUAUUGCAUUAUAUUAUAUUAUAUUAAUUAUUAUUUUGUAUAAUAUUGUGGUGGGCAGUAAUAAUUUUCAUGUAGAAGGAUACAGCAUAUUCCUCACAUUACAUAAUUAUAUCCAAUUUUAAAGCCUUUGACAGCAAUAAAAUAAAAAAUCAACCAAAAUAUUUUACA
rnacentral:lncRNA from 1 species